GCCGUUGUAGCUCAGACGGUUAGAGCACGUCAUUGGUAAUGACGAGGUCGUCGGUUCAACUCCGACCAACGGCU
rnacentral:tRNA from 1 species